rnacentral:rRNA from 1 species
CAGCCGCCACGGUAAUGCGUAGGGUGCGAGCGUUAAUCGGAUUUACUGGGCGUAAAGCGUGCGCAGGCGGCCCGUUAAGGCAGGUGUGAAAUCCCUGGGCUCAACCUAGGAAUUGCGCUUGUGACUGGCGGGCUCGAGUACGGUAGAGGGGGGUGGAAUUCCUGGUGUAGCAGUGAAAUGCGUAGAGAUCAGGAGGAACACCGAUGGCGAAGGCAGCCCCCUGGGCCUGUACUGACGCUCAUGCACGAAAGCGUGGGGAGCAAACAGGAUUAGAUACCCCAGUAGUCCCUGUCUCUUAUAC